rnacentral:rRNA from 1 species
GACGAACGCUGGCGGCGUGCUUAACACAUGCAAGUCGAACGGAAAGGCCCUGCUUUUGUGGGGUGCUCGAGUGGCGAACGGGUGAGUAACACGUGAGUAACCUGCCCUUGACUUUGGGAUAACUUCAGGAAACUGGGGCUAAUACCGGAUAGGAGCUCCUGCUGCAUGGUGGUGGUUGGAAAGUUUCGGCGGUUGGGGAUGGACUGGCGGCUUAUCAGCUUGUUGGUGGGGUAGUGGCUUACCAAGGCUUUGAGGGGUAGCCGGCCUGAGCGGGUGACCGGCCACAAUGGGACUGAGAGACGGACCAGACUGCAAUGGGCGGCAGAAGGGGGGAAUAUGGCGCAAUAGGGGGAAGCCUGAUGCAGCAACCCUGCGAUCGGGAUGACGGCCUUCGGGUGGUAAACCACUGUCGCCGGUGACGAAGCGUGAGUGACGGUAAUGGGUAAAGAAGCACCGGCUAACUACGUG